rnacentral:lncRNA from 1 species
CUCCUAGCACAGAGUUAAGAGUUCAUUGCUGGGCAGUGCAAGCCAAGCAGUAAGCGGGAGACCCAGCUUAACAAGAAGGAAUGUUGCGUAGACCAGGAAUGCUGGACCAUGUGGAGGCUGAAGGAACAGUUAGAAAAGAGGGCCCACCGGUUGGAAAUAAAGUCGGAAUAAUCCUGAGCAUCCAGAAGAAAAGAGUUGAAGCCGCUGUCACUAGGAGGAAGCUUCUCUGGAUCCAUUUAGGGGAACAACAGGAGCCAGCCCCGUGGCGUAGUGGUUCAGUUCAGCAUGCUCUGCUUCAGCGGCUUGGGUUCCCAGGUUUGGAUCCCAGGUACGGACCUCCACCACUCCUCAGCCAUGCUGAUGCAGUUACCCACAUCCAAAACAGAAGAAGACUGGCACAGAUGUUAGCUCAGGGCUAAUCUUCCUCAGCAAAAGAAGGGGAAACAACAAAACAAGAACAACAACAACAAAAGCAGGAUCUGAAACAAAAUCUAUGAAAUCAGAGUUGGAGAUAAAAUAGGAUCUAAUUCUGAAUUCUGAAUUCCUGAUAUGUGUAUCUGUUCCUAUACUAACGCCACAUUGAAUGAUGGAUACAUAGUGUGUUCCAAUAGCUGGAUCCGAACCAGCGAAACACUGGGCCACAGAAGUGGAGCGCGCGAAGUUAAUCACUCGGCCACGGGGCCGGCCUCCAGGAUUUGCCCCCAUCUCAAGGUCCUGAUUUGUAGCCUCAUUUGCUGUCUGGUUCGAGUGAAAUAUUUGUUCUUAGAUGGGCACUUGGUAAUAUACUCUCAAAGAUUUUGAAUAUCUUUGAAUUUUUUUUAAAUUCUGUCAGGUGAAUAACUCUUGAUUGACUAUAGGAUUCUGAAGUGACAGUCCUUUUAGCUUAGUAGUCUGCUGAUGAUAUUCCACUGACUUCUAGCUCUCAUAGUUAUGAACACACAUUCCAAAGGCAGUAUGCUAUUUUUACAGGGAUUAUUUGUUCUAUCAAGACUCUUAUAAAAAAAUUUAUGUAUAUAUAUGUAAAUAUUGAAUGUACAUAUUUUAUAAAUACAUGUAAAUAUUAAUUUUUGCAUUUAUAUAUGUGUAGAUUUCUUUUUCCAAGGGUCUGAUAGAGAGAACAAAUUACUCCCCUACAAAAUAACAAACUGCCUUUGGAAUGUUUGUUCAUAACUAUGAAAGCUUUAUAGAGAUAGAUAUAAAGAUAGAUAUAUUGGUGUAUAGAUAUAUUGGUAUAUAGGUAUUUUUCUAUAUAAAUAUUUACCAAAACUUAUCAUUAAUUCAUCAGAGACCAACCUUUAUUUCAAUUUAUAUACAGCUAUGUGUCGCUUAACGAAGCAAAUACAUUUUAAGAAAUGCAUCAUUAUGUGAUUUUGUUGUGGUGCAAAUAUCAUCGAGUGUACUGAAGGGGAAUAAAAUUUGCCACCCCAGAAUGUGUCUUAACAUGAGGAUUAUUUUAGGCUGAUUAUUUUUAAGAAAAAAAAUACUCAGAAGGUUUUCUUGUUACCUCCCCCUUACCUGCCUAAAAGAAUUCAGAUUAAAAAACCUGUCUCAGGGAGCUGGCCUGGUGGUGCAGUGGUUAAGCUCUCACAUUCCACUUCAGCAGCCAGGGUUCACCAGUUCGGAUACUGGGUGCAGACCUAUGCACCACUUGUCAAUCCGUGCUGUGGCCGGCGUCCCACAUAUAAAGUAGAGGAAGAUGGGCACCAAGGUUAGCUCAGGGCCUGUUUUCCUCAGCAAAUAGAGGAGGAUUGGCAACAGAUGUUAGCUCAAGGCUAAUCUUCCUCAAAGAAAUGAGAAAAAACCCAAACCUGUCUCAGAAAGUAAGCUAUUACCUUAACAUAACAUGAACUAGGUGGUAGAAAGCGAGACACCUAGAAAAAGGUGGUAGAAAGCGGCUCCUCUCUGUUUUCUUCUGUGAAACUUGUUUUCCAAAUGUUUGCUUCUUUUCACCUACUUGUGAAUUGCCUUUGUUUCCUUUGAGGCCCCUGACUCUCCCACCCCCAACCUCUUCUUUUGUUUUAGGUUGAAAAUGGUAUUUAAGGUGAAGGCUUCAGUCAUUUUGGUGAGUUAGUUUUUCUGGGUUUCUUCCAUGUGUACAUGUUAUUAAACUUUUGCUUGUUUUUCUCCUAUUAAUCUGUCUCAUGUCAAUUUAAUUCUUAGAUCAGCCAGAAGAACCUAGAAGGAUAGAGGACAAUUUCUUCCUCCUCUACAGUACUUACACAAACCUAGAUGACGUAGCCUACUACACACCUAGGCUGUAUGGUACUAAUCUUGUGGGACCACCGUCGUAUACGUGGUCUGUCGUUGACGGAAGUGUUGUUAUGUGGUACCUGACUGUACUAAAAUUUUUAAUUCAGAAGUCAUAGUUUUCAGUUUUAAGAAGUCUUUCAGUGCUUUUUCUCUCAAAUGCUCUUUUUCUGUUUAUUUAUACUUCUAUUCUUGCUCUAGCUCUUCCAGAAGUUCAAUUUCAUAAAGUGUGACUUAAGAUUCUUCAAUCUACUCCUCUCAACCAAGCUAUUUUGGAUCCUCAUAAAAGAAAACUAAAAGAGUUUGUCACUCACUGACCUGCACUACAAGAAAUGCCAAAAGAUGUUCCUCACGAUGAUGGGAAAUUAUACCAGUUACAUAAAAAAGGGUGAAGAGCAUCAGAAGUGAUGGGAAUUGUUGUGCCGAAGUAAAAGCCCAGAAGGAUGUCCAUUGCAGAGAAAUCUACAACAGCAAAAACAGGAAAAUAACCAAACUCUCUAACAAUACGGAAUGCUUGCUUGAGUAAAUUAUGGCAUCUAAUCUCAGUGAAUUACUAUGAACUCAGUAAAAUGUUUAAAUGACUCAAAAUUGUAUGUACCCUAUGUUAUUAUGUAUUUAUAUGUGGGAGAAAAAACUAGGAUUGUUUGAAUUAAGAUGGAAAUGAGAAUUUUUUAGGAAAGAGUGUAGAUAUCUAUUUCUUAUUUUAAGAUAUCUUUUUGUCAUAAAGUCUUAACUACCUCACAAAUGCUAAUCUUGAAAAACUAACUUUAUUGAUAAUCUUCAAUAUGUUGCAGCAGACGUUUCUAUAUUAUCUAGCAACUAUAGAACUUCUGAAAUUCAGAAUUAUCUAGCUUAAAAUUAGAUGAUAUUCCAUAAGGUUAUUUGUACAGCAGUUGUUUAAGACAUGCAAAAAAAUACAUUUUCCUUAUGAAAUAACAUUAUUACUAAUUAGAA